GAUGAAGAACGUAGCGAAACGCGAUAAGUAAUGUGAAUUGCAGAAUUCAGUGAAUCAUCGAAUCUUUGAACGCACAUUGCGCCCCCUGGUAUUCCGGGGGGCAUGCCUGUUCGAGCGUCAUUUCACCACUCAAGCCUCGCUUGGUAUUGGGCAACGCGGUCCGCCGCGUGCCUCAAAUCGACCGGCUGGGUCUUCUGUCCCCUAAGCGUUGUGGAAACUAUUCGCUAAAGGGUGCUCGGGAGGCUACGCCGUAAAACAAACCCAUUUCUAAGGUUGACCUCGGAUCAGGUAGGGAUACCCGCUGAACUUAAGCAUAUCAAUAAGCGGAGGA
rnacentral:misc_RNA from 1 species